UGAAGCUGUCAUUUUGGUGUCUGCGGUGACUGUACUGUGGGAAUAUCUCCCCUCAUCUGAUCUGGGUCACAAGGACCCUAAAUCUGGUGUGCUCUGAGCACAUGCCUGGUGCAGAUGCUGCCCGGCUGGGAAGGGGGUGGACUCAGGAUCAGGAGUAGAUGGAAGUAACAGAACAAACGUAAACCUGCUAAAGGCAGCCUUUUCCUGAGGGCCAAACGUGGGAUCACCCGCAUCAAUGGAGUGAAUGGAUGAACACAGUGUGGCCCAUCCACACAGGGGAGUAUCUCGCGACAAUGUGGAUGAACCUCAAAACACGCUGAGUGAGAGACCAGACACAACAAGCCACAGUGUGUGAUCCAUUCAUAUGAAGGGCCGGAAAGAGGGUUCCCAGCCCCCAGUCC